UACGUAGGGCCCGAGCGUUGUCCGGAUUCAUUGGGCGUAAAGAGCGUGUAGGCGGCCCGAUAAGUCCGCUGUGAAAGUCCAGGGCUCAACCCUGGGAUGCCGGUGGAUACUGUCGGGCUCGAGUCCGGAAGAGGAGUGUGGAAUUCCUGGUGUAGCGGUGAAAUGCGCAGAUAUCAGGAGGAACACCAAUGGCGAAGGCAGCACUCUGGGACGUGACUGACGCUGAGACGCGAAAGCGUGGGUAGCAAACAGG
rnacentral:rRNA from 1 species